rnacentral:rRNA from 1 species
AUAUCAAUAAGCGGAGGAAAAGAAACCAACAGGGAUUGCCUCAGUAACGGCGAGUGAAGCGGCAAGAGCUCAAAUUUGAAAUCUGGUGCCCCCGGCGCCCGAGUUGUAAUUUGAAGAUAGUUUUCUGGUGGCGGCCCUUGUCUAUGUUCCUUGGAACAGGGCGUCAUAGAGGGUGAGAAUCCCGUCUGAUGGGGUGUCCGCCGCCGUGUAGAUUUCUAUCGAAGAGUCGAGUUGUUUGGGAAUGCAGCUCUAAGUGGGUGGUAAAUUCCAUCUAAAGCUAAAUACUGGCGAGAGACCGAUAGCGAACAAGUACAGUGAUGGAAAGAUGAAAAGAACUUUGAAAAGAGAGUGAAAAAGUACGUGAAAUUGUUGAAAGGGAAGGGUAUUCGAUCAGACUUGGUGUUUUGCGAUUAUCCGCUCUUUUUGGGCGGUGCACUCACAUCUCACCGGGCCAGCAUCGGUUCUGGUGGCAGGAUAAUGGCUUGGGAACGUGGCACUCCCCCCGGGGAGUGUGUUAUAGCCCCUGCUGAUGCUGCCUACCGGGACCGAGGACUGCGGCUUCUGCCUAGGAUGCUGGCGUAAU